GUAAAGGGAGCGUAGGUGGCUCGAUAAGUCAGAUGUGAAAUCCCCGGGCUCAACCUGGGAACUGCAUCUGAUACUGUUGAGCUAGAGUAUGUGAGAGGAAGGUAGAAUUCCAGGUGUAGCGGUGAAAUGCGUAGAGAUCUGGAGGAAUACCGAUGGCGAAGGCAGCCUUCUGGCAUAAUACUGACACUGAGGCUCGAAAGCGUGGGUAGCAAACAGGAUUAGAUACCCUGGUAGUCCACGCCGUAAACGAUGUCUACUAGUCGUUGGGUCCCUUGAGGACUUAGUGACGCAGCUAACGCAAUAAGUAGACCGCCUGGGGAGUACGGCCGCAAGGUUAAAACUCAAAUGAAUUGACGGGGGCCCGCACAAGCGGUGGAGCAUGUGGUUUAAUUCGAUGCAACGCGAAGAACCUUACCUGGUCUUGACAUAUCUAGAAUCCUGCAGAGAUGCGGGAGUGCCUUCGGGAAUUAGAAUACAGGUGCUGCAUGGCUGUCGUCAGCUCGUGUCGUGAGAUGUUGGGUUAAGUCCCGCAACGAGCGCAACCCUUGUCCUUAGUUACCAGCGGGUUAAGCCGGGAACUCUAAGGAUACUGCCAGUGACAAACUGGAGGAAGGCGGGGACGACGUCAAGUCAUCAUGGCCCUUACGACCAGGGCUACACACGUGCUACAAUGGUAGGUACAGAGGGCAGCUACACAGCGAUGUGAUGCGAAUCUCAAAAAGCCUAUCGUAGUCCAGAUUGGAGUCUGCAACUCGACUCCAUGAAGUAGGAAUCGCUAGUAAUCGCGGAUCAGAAUGCCGCGGUGAUACG
rnacentral:rRNA from 1 species